AGCGAACGCUGGCGGCGCGCCUAACACAUGCAAGUCGAACGAGGAGGCGUAGCAAUACGCUUGUAGAGUGGCGAACGGGUGAGUAAUACGUGGGUGACCUACCCUCGAGUGGGGAAUAACCCGCCGAAAGGCGGGCUAAUGCCGCGUACGCUUCCGUCCUCACGGGGACGGAAGGAAAGCUGUACCGUGGGUACGGCGCUCAAGGAUGGGCUCACGUCCUAUCAGCUUGUUGGUAGGGUAACGGCCUACCAAGGCUACGACGGGUAGCUGGUCUGAGAGGACGAUCAGCCACACUGGCACUGCGACACGGGCCAGACUCCUACGGGAGGCAGCAGUGAGGAAUAUUGCGCAAUGGGCGAAAGCCUGACGCAGC
rnacentral:rRNA from 1 species